CAGUGACCAAAUCCUGUCAGCAGAAAAAUAAAAAGCCAGAGGCAGCGAUUCGCAGUCCCGUCCGCUUCCCUUUCCCUGAGGCGUGACGACGGCGCCACAGCCUGCGCAGCAACGUAAUGGGGACGGCGUCCAAUGAGCUUUUCAAAAUGUCCAACAGAGAAUCUUGUGGCGAAAAAGAGAAGUCUCAGAGAAAAGGCACCACUGCAUCACCCAACUUUGACGUAGAAGAUAGGACAGAGAAAAAAACUUCAAGUUCUACUAGUUCAGCUUGCUGUGUAAGGUCUGUUUCAUCAGAGAAGAGACGACUGAAAUCAGAUCACACAGACAUUCUAUACUGUGAUGUAAAAAGAAGACAAGAACUGAAAAGAUUGAAUGUAGAAACCGACCUUCCAGGAAGGAGACCAAAAAUCAAUUCUUCAUCCCAAGGCCCUGUUAAGCUCCAAGAAGUAUCCUAUUCAAACGCUAAUCAAAUUAUUUCACAGAGUCCUUCUUCACAUGGAACUAAAAAAGACCUAAGUAAAUGUGUAGAUUUUAAAGAUAAUAAAUUGACAAAUGUUAGGAGUAAACCUGACCAUGGAGUUAGAAACCUUAGCAGUCCUAAGAUGGCCAAAGAUGUAAAACCUAAAACUGAAGCCCAGGCCAGUGAAAAACAAUGGCCUCAUGUACUCGCUCAGCGGGAGAAGGUGAAAGAACUCAAGAAAGAAAGGCACAAGAAAUUUAGGGACAGUUCUGAAGAGUGUGUUUCAGAGAAAUUCAAGAGAAUCCAUUUUUCUCAGGAUUAUAAUUCCAACAAGAUAAAUAAGGAACCCCUUGAAUCUAGAAGAAGGAAGAUCAGUUUCAAAAUCCCAGUAAAAUCCCAUGAUACCCUCCAGAAGCUUGUAGAAGAAAAUACCUUCAGUUUAGAGUCCAACAAGUCAAAGUCUAAGCAGGAGAAAAAAGAAGGCCUCAAAGGCUCCCAAGUUUCAUUAAAUUUGACCAGGCACAAAAGUGAACGUUUAUUUUCAGAUUCCACGUCUAAGCAGGCUGUUCAUGAGUGGAAAGGAAAAAACCAUCAUGAGCAUCAAGAAAGUGAUUCAAGUUCCAGGGAAAACUUAAUCCAGAGUUUUGAAGCUCCAUGUUCUUCAGCAUCACUUGCAACUAUUCAAGAUACAGAUCAAGAGAUGCAGAUAGUGGAAGAGCUCCAUGCUGCACGUGUGGGAAAAAGUGUGGAUUUACCUGUGGUUUUAUCUUCCGAAGAGUUAACAAGCAUGGAGAUUGACUUGGUGGAAGAUGAUGUACAUUCUUGUGCUGCAAAUACUGCUUCAGAUAAAAAGCUUCUAGUUGUUAUUGACACAAAUAUUCUGAUGAAUCACCUCAAUUUUGUUAGAAUUUUGAAGACAACAGAAAUUCCAGGCUUUGACAGACUUGUAUUAAUAAUUCCCUGGGUGGUCAUACAAGAGCUAGAUCGUAUGAAGGCAGGAAAACUGCUAAAACGUGCCCAGCACAAAGCUGUGCCUGCCGUUCAUUUCAUCAAUGACAGUCUCAAAAACCAAGACAGAAAGCUAUGGGGUCAGUCACUACAGCUUGCAUCUCAAAAAUUUUAUGGACUGAAUGACGAGAACAAUGAUGACCGAGUAUUAAAAUGCUGUCUUCAGUACCAGGAAUUAUUCCCUUGUUCUACUGUUAUUCUGUGCACGGAUGAUAGAAAUUUAAGAAACAAAGGCCUAAUAAGUGGUGUGAAGUCACUCAGUAAAGAAGAAUUGAGUGCAGAGUUAUUAAACUUAUCUCUGAACACAGAUGUAUGUCAUCAGCCUUGUAUAUCUAAGCAACAAUUGAAAGCAGAAGCAACACUGUUAGAAGAGAGCUAUGAGGAAGAAUCUGCACAUUCUGGACUACCCAUUAUACUUGAAAGCAUUGUAUCUGAUCUUGAAAAAUCUCUUGGAACAGCUUUAUCUUCAAUAUUAGAAACAGAAAUGAAAAUUGCUUUUGGAAAUCUUUGGAUGGAGAUGCUGUACUUGAAACCACCAUGGACUCUAAUUCAUUUAUUACAGUGCUUUAGAAAACAUUGGUUGGCUGUAUUUGGAUUAGUUAUGGAGAAAAACUUGCUUUUAACCGUUGAGAGCCUAUAUGAAAAUCUCUGUAAAGCUAACAGUGCAGUGGAUUUUACAACAGUGAAAUUUCUGCUUCAGGAUUCUAAAAGUUUGUUACAUGCAUUCAGUACACGGUCAAAUUAUGAUGGUGUUCUUCCACAGGCCUUUGCUCAAGUCAGUGAACUACUCCAAACCUUUACAGAGGUCAAGGCAAAACUUAAGCAAAAUCCUUCAGAAACUACAGUGGGUAAAAAGCAAGAAGAUAUUUCUUUAAUGAAGUCUAAUAACCAAGAAAUCACCAUUUUCUCAGGUUCUCAUCUUCCCCAACCCAACAGACAUGAAGAAAUCUGGUCUAUCCUAGAGAAUGUUUGGAUUACGUUAUGUCAGAACAGCAUGGAUGUAUUUCAGAGAUUGGGCCCAAAUGCAGCUUUGACUUCUUCAAAAAUAGUAUCAUUUGAAGAAGCAUUUGUAUCUCUUCAAAAGUUAAUGGCAGCUGUGAAGGAUAUUCUUGAAGGAAUUCAAAGGAUUUUGGCCCCUAACAGUAAUUAUCAAGAUGUUGAGACCCUCUAUAACUUCCUAAUCAAGUAUGAGAUUUUAUUUAUUUAUUUGACAGAGAGAGAGAUAGCGAGAGCAGGAACACAAGCAGGGGGAGUGGGAGAGGGAGAAGCAGGCCUCCCGCCGAGCAGGGAGCCCGAUGUGGGACUCGAUCCCAGGACCCUGGGAUCAUGACCUGAGCCGAAGGCAGACGCUUAACGACUGAGCCACCCAGGCGCCCUGCUGCCUACUUUUUAAGUCAUCUGUGACCUGGAGCCACACCACCCUUAUACCUGAACUGUGGUCUGGAUAAGUAUCUAAAUGUAAAUAGAAAUGUCCAGUUCACUGCCCAGGAACUUUAUGAUUGUGUUUCACAGUCUGAGUAUCGGUAAGUCCCAUCUGUAGUAUAGAUAAUGCCGUUGUCAUAAGCUUUUACCAUAUACAGUACCACUUGGUGUGCUGGAGAAGGAUUUGUUUUAUGUCUGCACUACACUAUGAUUUUUUUUUACCUUUAUUAAUAUGAAAUAGUUCAUACAUACCAAAAGAGUUUUGUGUGUGUGUGCACGCACACCUGUGUAUAAACCCAAGUAUAAGGUUUAAAGUGCUACUCAAUUUUUUUGGCCUCAAGACUCCUUUAUAUUUUACAAAAUUGUUGGGGACCCUAAAGACCUUUUGUUUAUGUAGGUUGUAUCUAUCUAUAUUUCCUAUAUUAGAAAUUAGAAUUGAAAAUUUUUAAAAUACUCAUUUCAAAAUAAUAACUAAUUACAUGUUAAGAUAAGGAACAUGUAAUUACGAAAAUAAUUUUUCCCGAACAAAAAGAGUGAGAGUCUACAUUUUUGCAAAUCUCUUAAUGUCUGGCUUCAUGGAAGACAGAUGGGUUCUGAUAACUGCUCUUGAAUUUAGUCUGUUUUGAUAAUCACAUGUCAUGUAUCACUGGAAAACUGUUGUACGUUCUGGCAAGAAUGAGAAUGCAAAAGGCAAAUCAUGUCUUAGUCUUAUUAUUGAAAGUAGCUUUGACCUCUUUGACCUCACAGACCCUUUGAAAGACUUAUUUUCCCCAGAUCGUGUUUUGAAGACAAACUAGUACAAAGAAUACUCAUGCCUAUCAUUCAGCUGACAAAAUAGACCUUUACCCAUCCCUGUGCAUACCCGUCCUUGCAGCCUCUCCGUAGAGAUUUUGUGUUUAUAAUUCUCAUCUUUAUGGGUGUAUGUACCAAUAAAAAUAUAUUGAUUAAUUUCACCUGCUUUUGUACUCAAUGGCAUCAUAUAUAUUCUUUUCAAAAAUAAUUUAGUGUAUAGCAUUCAUAUGUAACAAGAAAGGAGAAGCAGUAUAAAUCAGAUUCUUUAAUAUACAGGGUCUGUGUGUGAAGCCCUCCAGUCCUGAGCCCAGGCAAACAAAUUCAUGAGGAACAAAAACCCACUUAAUGUGGUCAUUGUUGCCCUCCAGUCUCAUAACCCCCUUCCCGCCAUUCUUUUUUGACUCAAUGUCCAGAUACACCCAUGUUGCAGCAUGGAGCAGUAGUUGGUUUACAGCCAGUCCUACGUACUGUGACAUGACCUAUUCGUUCCCAAAUAUCACCUCAUGCUAUGCCAAAUCAUGCCAGAAAAAGGGUGUUGGGGAAAAUGGGUCUGAGGCACAUCCCUCAGAAACUUAAUAAGAGAUAUAGGGGCGCCUGGGUGGCUCAGUCGGUUAAGCAUCUGUCUUCGGCUCAGGUCAUGAUCCCAGGGUCCUGGGAUUGAGCCCCACAUCGGGCUCCUGGCUCAGGGGGGAGCCUGCUUCUCCCUCUCCCUCUGCCUCUCCCCUUGCUCAUGCUCGCUCACUCGCUCUCUCUCUCUGUAUCUCUGUGUCUCAAAUGAAUAAAUAAAAUCUUAAAAAAAAACCUUAAGAGAUACAUUAAAAAAAGAAGAUAGGAACCUAAUCAAAAUGACACCAGUUUUACACAUGUUAAAUGGUUAAGAAAUAUGUCAACAUGAUGGUAAAUCUGACCCUUUUUGUUGAAAAAGAGUCAAAGUUUGCUGGUGGAAGUGGUCCUUGGAAGGGUUGCAGCUUGUGGGUCAGUGGGAUGUGGUGGAAGGAAGGUGAUCUGAAACUGAAUGUAAAGUUGCAACACCCGAUGUGAAUGAGGUUCUGGUACAUGUUUAAAGUGUGUGCGUGUGUGUGUGGUGCAUUGCUAAGUAGCUUACUUCAGCUGGGUAGUUUUCUCUGUUCCUCUGAAACUACAUAUAAGAAAGUGUGAAAUCUGCACCAUGCUCAGGUUGUUCUUUAAUGGACCGGCGGUGUUGGAACAAGUUCCUGCUGUAGCAGGACUGACCGUGCUUUCACUCUGUGUGAGUUACCACUGCUGUCACUCAUCCGCAGCUCAGUUGCGAGUUUUAACUUGCACACAAAUCUGCGUUGCUCUAAAAUUUUAUGAGCAGGUAAAGCGAGUGUUAACUAUCAAGGUGCUUCUGUGAAACUCUAGAUUGGUAAAUUUAUUUGAUAUCAAGACACAAGGAUUGAUAAUUAGGCACAAAUGUUACUAAGUACAGCUAUGAAAGCUCACUUACUUAUUAGAUUAAGUUUUCCAAGAAAAUCUAAAACCAUUGGGCAUGCAUAGUAUGUAGUAGCUGGGGGUUUACCUUAAUCUUCAGACUGUCAAUCAGUUACACUCUUCUUAUAGAUCUUUACAGAUAGGCCACAUUUAAAGGUUUGUGUAGAUGAGAUUUGUGUCAAAAAUAUAACAUCUGUUGGGGCGCCUGGGUGGCUCAGUCAGUUAAGCAUCCAGCUUUUGAUUUCUGCUCAAGUCAUGAUCUCAGGGUCAUGAGAUCAAGUCCCACAUUGGGCUCUGUGCUGGGCGUGGAGCCUGCUUAAGAUUCUCUCUCUCCCUCUGCUCCCCGCCCCCCCACUGCACCCCCUCCCCCACUCACUCUCUCUCACCCUCCCAUAAAUAAAUAAAUAUAAAUAUAAAUAUAAAUAAAAUAAUAUCUGUCAAACUAAACAAUACAUUAAAAAAAAUCAUUCACCACGAUCACGUGGGAUUUAUUCCUGGCUUGUGAGAGUGGUUCAAUAUUUGCAGAUCAACUCACUACAUCACAUCAAUAAGAGAAAGGAGAAGAACCAUAUGAUUAUUUCAACAGACACAGAAAAAGCAAUUGACAAACUACAACAUCCAUUCAUGAUAAAAACCCUCAACAAAGUAGGUUUAGAGGGAACAUAACUCAACAUAAAGGCUAUGAAAAACCGACAGCUAACAUCAUCCUCAAUGGGGGAGAAACUGAGCUUUACCCCUAAGGUCGGGAACAAGACACUUUUUUUUUUUCUUAAAGAUUUUAUUUAUUUGGGGGACGGAGAGGGAGAGAAAGAGCGCGUGCGUUGGAAGAUGAGCAGGCAGAGGGGGAGGGAGAAGCAGGCUCCCAGGGAACCAGAUACAGAGCUCGAUCCCAGCACCCCAAGAUCAUUGCCUGAGCUGAAGGCAGCCGCUUAACCAACUAAGCCACCCAGGCACCCCAGGAACAAGACACUUUUAUUAAACAUAGUAUUGGAAGUCCUAGCCACAGCAGUCAGACAACAAAAAGAAAUAAAAGGCAUCCAAAUCGGCAAGGAAGAAGUCAAACUUUGACUAUUUGCAGAUGACAUGAUACUAUAUAUAUAGAAAACCCUAAGGAAUCCACCAAAAAACUGCUAGAACUGACAAAUCAGUAAAGUCACAGGAUACAAAAUCAAUAUACAGAAAUCUGUUGCAUUUCUGUACACUAAUAAGCAGCAGCAAGAGAAAUUUAGAAAACAGUCCCAUUUACAGUUGCACCAAAAACCGUAAGGUACCUAGGAAUAAACCUAACCAAAGAGGUGAAAGACCUGUACUCUGAAAACUAUAAAACACUGAUGAAAGAAAUUGAAGAUGACACAAAGAAAUGGAAAGACAUUCUAUGCUCAUGGACUGGAAGAACAAAUACUGUUCAAAUGUCUAUAUUACCCAAAGCAGUCUACACAUUUAAUACAAUGCCUAUCAAAAUACCAACAGCAUUUUUCACAGAGCUAGAACAAACAAAAUUUGUACGGAACCACAAAAGACUCUGAAUAACAAAGCAAUCUUGAAAAAAAAAAAAGCAAAGCUGGAGAAAUCACAGUUUUGG